UGAACCCGCACUAAUUACCUGAUUUAGAUUGAGCUUUGUCGUUUAACUGGCACUUUUGGCUCUAAGCUAAUUCAAACACGUAGUUUGAGUUAGAGGUCUUUUGCGCAACAAGAUGGCUGAGGACUCUCUGUUUGCUAGUGAUUACGGCAGCCCGUGUCCUUUAUGUGAGGAGGAAUGUGAGAAACAUUGUCUGGCCCUCGGAGUCAAUGAACAACAAAGAAAUAUAGAUGAAGCAGAGCAAAAAAGAGACCAUAAAAUUGGUUCUAUAGAUGAAGAGAAAAAAGAAGAGGGAACCGAAAUGGCAGAAAGGGUGGCAAAAGUAUUUGUUGAUACGGAUGAUGAAUAUAAUCAUGAAGAAGGUGUGGAGUUUGAAAUGGGUGAAAGUAAAGUCGAAAUGACAGAGAAGAAUAAAAGCAAGUGUGACAAUGGAAAAGGGAAUGAUGUGAGUGGUGAUCUGGGCCCUCCACCACAGGAGCAGAAGAGUGUCCAACAGCUGGACACCAGUGACCCAGUAAAUCUGUUGAUGGUGUGUGAGGAGUCUGUUGAGAGCAGUGUGAACGAGGAGCUUCUGCUGUGUCCUGCCAAGUCUUUAUCCUUUUCACAGACCUCCUUGAUAUCUUCUCCUCCUCCUUCCCAGAAUCCUCUACCUCUCACACUCCCAUCUAGCAAUCACUCUGUGUUUCAGCUACAAACGCAGCCAGUGGUUCAGACCCAGAGCUCAGUGCCCAUGCCAAUGCCCCAGGUUUCCUGUUUGACCAAGCGUGCAUAUGAGAGCAGCCCCUCUGUGGAGCCCAAAACACUCACCCAUUCUGGGCAGCUGGAGGUGACGCUGCAGCAGGUGUACACCACACGCCGGUACACCCGCUUCACCAGCAGGUCUGCAUCAUUAAACUCAAUACAUCCAGAGACCAGCGCCCAGCCCUUACCGUGUGUCAGCAACACAUCUCUACUGGUACCAGCCCCCAAAAAGAAAACGCGAACCUCCUACAGCACUGAUCAGUUGGAGGAGCUAGAGAGGAUGUUUCAAGAUGAUCAUUAUCCGGAUGCAGACAAGCGGAAAGAGAUUGCAACAUCAGUUGGUGUCACACCCCAGAGAGUCAUGGUAUGGUUUCAGAAUCGUCGUGCCAAAUGGCGUAAAACCUCUAAAAUGACAACAAGAAAGCCUCCAGUGACCCGGACCCAGGCACCUGCCCAAGUCCCAGUCCACAGGCCUCCUAUUUUCACAGGUUCUGCAAUUGCAUCCCAACCCCCCCAAACUGGAAACACACUCCCUCCUUACAGUACACUGCUCCCCAGCUGCUCAAGCCCACCAGGCUUUGUGGAUAUGGCAGCUACUGUGUCUCAGGGGUGUGCAGGGGACUAUAAGCAUCCCCUCAUGCAGAGUCCCCCACCUCUGCGCCGUGCCUCACUACCCUUCUUUGCUGCAUUCAACCCCCCUACACACACGCUGUCUAUACUGCUGGACACACCAGAGCACUGUGAGCCUCAGUCCUUCAGCAUGCCGACUGAAAGUGGGUUUAACUAUGAUUCUGUGGACUCUUCAACUAAAUAUGAGUCUGUUGCUGGAAACACUCAGUCAUACCAGCUCAUGACAUACCCCCAACAGUCCAGCACAUUAUUGCCUCAACAACCUGACACUCUCCUUCCCCAACAAAAUAAUAACGUACAUCCACAGCAGCCGAACGCACUAUUGCCACAAUACUCACGAAUAUCAUACCUCACCCCAUCUCCGUAUCUGACCCCUAACUCAAGUGAAGGCACUGCCACUUCCUGUAUGCCCCUGAACCCAGGAACCAGUAGCAGCCUGCUACCCUGCACCAAUGGAGGACAUGCCUAUUUCCACUGCCAAAACGGUAGCCAGGUUCUACUUCAGCCUGGGCUACAGGCACUGCAGACAUACCCAUGGACUGGUGACAUGUACGGUCAUUCAGUUCAGGUUCCUCACGCAGUCCUAAAGCCCCAGUUCUCAUCCCAUGGUCGUGAGAGCCACUAUUCAUCUCUGCUCCAGCCCCAGUCUUACAUCACACCUCAGGGGGCAUCAUGCCCUAGCCUGGCUAAACCUGCCACCCCUGACCCCUUGCUCGCCAGUGUCAAAACAGAGCUGGAGGAAACCGGACACAGUCAGCCAGUCAGAGUUAGCGAGGCAGAGACCAUUUUCCAUUGUGACUUCUCACCCAUUCACUUUUGACAGUAACCAUUUUGUACUGGUCAUCGUUGCAGUGGAUUCCUGGGAACACUGCGUGUGAGGGCCAGCAGCACUAACAGGAAAUUGAGAGUCUGCAGUCUGUUUGUUUCUGUACUUUUUGUGUUUUGUUGUUGUUGUUGUUGUUGUUAACUGCAGACUUUAAUAAAGUGCCCUACGUCUCUUAUUA